rnacentral:rRNA from 1 species
UACGUAGGGGGCAAGCGUUGUCCGGAUUUAUUGGGCGUAAAGAGCGUGUAGGCGGCUUGGUAGGUCUCGCGUCAAAACCUGAGGCUCAACCUCAGUUCGCGUGGGAAACCACCUAGCUAGAGUCCGGAAGAGGAGAACGGAAUUCCCAGUGUAGCGGUGAAAUGCGCAGAUAUUGGGAAGAACACCAGUGGCGAAGGCGGUUCUCUGGGACGGUACUGACGCUGAGACGCGAAAGCCAGGGGAGCGAACGGG